rnacentral:rRNA from 1 species
AACGAACGCUGGCGGCAUGCCUAACACGUGCAAGUCGAACGAUUGCCUUCGGGUGAUAGUGGCGCACGGGUGCGUAACGCGUGGGAAUCUGCCCUUAGGUUCGGAAUAACAGCUGGAAACGGCUGCUAAUACCGGAUGAUAUCGCGAGAUCAAAGAUUUAUCGCCUGAGGAUGAGCCCGCGUUGGAUUAGGUAGUUGGUGGGGUAAAGGCCUACCAAGCCGACGAUCCAUAGCUGGUCUGAGAGGAUGAUCAGCCACACUGGGACUGAGACACGGCCCAGACUCCUACGGGAGGCAGCAGUGGGGAAUAUUGGACAAUGGGCGCAAGCCUGAUCCAGCAAUGCCGCGUGAGUGAUGAAGGCCCUAGGGUUGUAAAGCUCUUUUACCCGGGAAGAUAAUGACUGUACCGGGAGAAUAAGCCCCGGCUAACUCCGUG